GGCGGCGUAGCUCAGUCGGUUAGAGCACGUGGUUCAUACCCACGGCGUCAGUGGUUCGAGUCCACUCGCCGCCACCA
rnacentral:tRNA from 1 species